rnacentral:lncRNA from 1 species
CUCGGACUCAAAUUAUUGUUUUCCCCUCAAUAUCUAUUAUAUAACUUUGAAGCCAAAUGUAACUGUGAAUCAAAGCUAGAAACAACCCAAAGAUGAACACUAUUAAACAGCUAUGGCAUUUGCCAGACGCAAACACUGUCACUAAUUUGCCAACAGAAGACUCAAAAAAGUAACUUGUGAAAGUUCAGAUGCAGAUCCAGAAUUUCAAUAAAACGAGCAAAUAUUAGUGUGAUAAGCAACUAUGAGAAGAUAAAAGACAAUGUUGCUAUCUUGAAAAGAAAAAAUUCACCCACCAUCUCAUUGAAAAUCCAAUUACUUGCUCUAAUAGUCAUUUUUGAACUCCCCAAUUCCCAUCUUUUACAUUUCACUUAUCUGUAUAUAUGUCUCUUCUUUUUCACUCACUCACAGUUCCCUUUCUUCCAAGGUUUAUGUCGAAAAUCCCAUACGAAAAAUUGACAUCAAUAAAUUACAAUAUAUAAUAUACAUGGUUUCGUUCCUAAUUAUCCCGAGAUCUUUUAUGGUAAAACCUGUUAACUACAUUGUAGUGUUUGGGAAUUGAAAGGAAAAUCAAGAAGAAAGAUGAAGAGAAGAAAGAUCAAUACAGAGAGUUUGAGAGAGAGAGAGUUUAGAGAGAGAAAUAGGAUUUGUAUUAACUUGUCAAAUGAAGAUUACACAUACUGUUUAUAUAGAAAUCCUAACCACUUUAACCAAAUACUAACUACCUAACUAUAUUACAUUCGUACCCUUAAUACUCCCCCUCAAUCUCAACUGGGGAAACCCAGUUUGAGAUUGGACGAACAUCUGCAAUCACUGCUAUUAAACUAUAAAACAGAACACAGAGUUGAACCAACUGGAGUCUUGCAAUCACUUGAAACUUCAAAGGCUGUUUUUAAUGAAGUCACAUCUCAGGACACCAUUUUGGGGAAAUCUACUGCUUCAAACUUUCUUCUCAACCGAGACAUUCUGACAAUCAGAAAUGCAAUUAACCAAUUUCACAGUAUCAUCACAAACAGAAACACCACCCUUAUUUCCCAUGAUCCAAUUCUUUAAGCCUGGUGAUUGAACCUCAAUGUAAUGGACUUCUGAACAUGGCGACGAGAACUUUCUUCUGUUCCUGAUUUUCUAGACUGUUGGCUUUUUAAAGUUUCGCCCUUGUCGAUGUAAUACAAUCCCGAGUAAGGCCAUUAAAAUUUUCCAUAUGAGCCGAUUUCUCUAUAUGUUGGCUUUUCAAGCAACAUCUUUCUUGGUCAGCCACUUGUGAGUUUGCAAAUUUGCUAUAAUCCUGACCUCAAUCUUUUCGAUCUUUUCCUCCAAAUUAGCCCCAUUGUCUCACUGUUGUACUGACAACAAUCCACCACAGAAACAGUCUCCAAUCUAUCAGUUGAUCUUUCUGCAUUCGUCAAUCGUGACAUCUUUCCUCUGCCUUCUAAUAGGAUCAGAUUCAUUGUUGUGGCUGAGCUCUAUUCAGAUUUAUAGAAUACAGAAGCCAUUCCCCUGUCCAAAUCAAUCAUGCACAUUUCAAGAGUGUACACAGGUUCAAAGUUCUACUGGUUUUUCAUCUGCAUUACCGACUUCUUCCGGUUUAACCCAGGCUCUUAUUUCAAACAUGUAAAAUAUGUCUGGAACUUCACAGACCCUUGAUAUGAUUUCUAAUUUUCAAAGCCAAAUGCAACAGAUAGUUCCACAACAGCAGUGGCAGCAGCAAGGAUAUAUCCCAAAACUUGUCCAAUCUCCACUAAAAUAGCAGCAACAGUAACCAACUCAGUCGCAGUCCUCUCAAAAAUCUAUUAAGCACAUAUUAAAUCUUAACAAACCUUCUAUGGUGAAAUCACAUCCAUCUAGUCUUCAACAGAAUCAACAAUCUCCCAUUCAUCAGUCAACACAAUCUAUGCUUCAGCAGCAUCCACAGUCAUCAAACAACAAGCUUUACAAUCACAGAAAUCAAGAAACACAACCCUCUUCGGCAAUCGGCCUUUAAUGAAGAAAGGGAACAAGAACUGCACUCCGGCAAUCGGCCUUAAUGGAGUUGCACACAAUAACGACAAACAAAAACUAUUCAAGAACGUUACUCCGGCUAUCGGCCUUUAAGGAGUAACACACAAUAUCUGAAACAUAACGUUUCACUCCGGCUAUCGGCCUUGUGGGGAAACAAACAACUUACACACACUUCUGGCUAUCGGCCUUUUUGAAGUGGGUCAUAAAAGGGAAAUGGCUAUCGGCCUCUCUAUCCCACCAAACACCUCAUUUAUCUACAAUUUUCAUGAUUUCAACACUUAUGGCUAUCGGCCUCUAACAAUUAUGCAAUUUGAAGCAAAAAACUUUGACUGCGACAUUCCAUCAAACACAUAGAGUGCAAGAUAAAGGAACCUGACAUUCUGCGAACCUUGAAUCUGUAUCCCAACUAGAGAAGAUAUGAACGAAGAUAUACCUCUGUUUCGAUCAGAAAUCAAAUAUUUUCUUACUGAAACAUUUAAUCAAACAGAUUAUGUGCAUUGUGAAAACCCAGAAAUCAAGAACCUGAUAAGAACUUCAAUCUUGACCCAAGAAUGCUAAGAGAGAAAACCAGAAGUCUCUCAUCGAUCUAAGGCAAAAUAUGGAAUAAGAACAAGAUUCAGCCUGACAACGAAAGAAACGAACCCUUUCGAGCCCAGCAAUAGGAUGAUUCGGGACCAAUCGACCAUGUUCUUGGCUUCAGAAACAUUAGAAACCAUGUUAGAAUUGGAAUCGCAGGCCGGCGAUAAGAUAAGAAGUCCCUAAUCAACGAUUGCCGGCGAUCAGCGCCCUCGCACCGCUAAUCUCCAACGGUCAUUGCUCCACCAUUUGCUGUUUCUCCACGACGCGUCGUUUUCAGGGCCUCGGGACCUUGGCGGUCCUGCUGAUCUCAUAAAUCAGUAUAAGCUUUGUCGUCAUCAUGAAUUCUUUUGCAAGAGAUCACUGCCUUUGUCAAUAUCAGAGACUCAUUAUCUACAUAAUGUGGUGGGAGACACAUCAAUCAAGAACACCGAGAAUCGAAAUCCCAUGAAACAGAUUCGGGUACCACACUUCUUCUCUCAGGCUUUCCUUCGAACACCUUGUGAACAUGACUCAGGGUACUUACUUGCCGACUCUGCAUCAGAACAAGAAAUUCAAUCCCCAAAAUCGAUGAGAAGUAAAGAUCGGUGAAAAUCAAUCACGUUCAAUAGAGAAAUCUCUGAUCACAAUCCAGAAAGUUCAACCUAGAAGUAAAACAACGAUCGCGGAAGCACUCAAAAAUUUAUUCGAACAUCUAAUGAAAAUUUGGAAAGAACUAAGCUAGAAACAUAUGAAAAAUAAUGGGAAGUGGAACCACCAGAAUCUAUGGCGUGAGCCUGGUGGCUCUGAUACCAUGUUAACUACAUUGUAGUGUUUGGGAAUUGAAAGGAAAAUCAAGAAGAAAGAUGAAGAGAAGAAAGAUCAAUACAGAGAGUUUGAGAGAUAGAGAGUUUAGAGAGAGAAAUAGGAUUUGUAUUAACUUGUCAAAUGAAGAUUACACAUAUUGUUUAUAUAGAAAUCCUAACCACUUUAACCAAAUACUAACUACCUAACUAUAUUACAUUCGUACCCUUAAUAAAACCUUACUCACGUUGGGCUAAGAGGUGGUUAGUUUGAGCACUAUUGGUGUUCAACAGUUGGCCCAUCUCUAUGGAAUUUGACAGUUUAUACCAAGAAAACCUAUCAAAACCCAUAUUCCAUGUAACGUGACAAUAACAAAUUUAGAACCACGAACCAGUACAAAAUUCUAUAUUAACAUGGCUAAAUAGAACAUGGAAAAUAUAUUUCAAUGGGAAAAACAAAGGAAGAAGCAAAUAUGGGUUGUUUCUAAUACACUUUCAAACGCAUAGAGAAAAAAAGAAUAAAAGAGAGAGAGUGAGAGAGAAGACUUACUCCAUAUACAGUGGGAACUGGAGAAGAUUGAAGCUGUUCAUCGCUUGAGGGCUUGGACUUGGAGCAGAAAACCACAACCG